rnacentral:rRNA from 1 species
AGAGUUUGAUCAUGGCUCAGAUUGAACGCUGGCGGUAUGCUUAACACAUGCAAGUCGAACGGAAACGAUACUAGCUUGCUAGUAGGCGUCGAGUGGCGGACGGGUGAGUAACGCGUAGGAAUCUGCCUGAUAGUGGGGGAUAGCCCGAAGAAAUUCGGAUUAAUACCGCAUAAUCUAUUCGUAGUAAAGUGGGGGACUUUCGACCCUCACGCUAUCAGAUGAGCCUGCGUAAGAUUAGCUUGUUGGUGGGGUAAAAGCCCACCAAGGCGACGAUCUUUAGCUGGUCUGAGAGGAUGAUCANCCACAUCGGGACUGAGACACGGCCCGAACUCCUACGCCAGCCACCAGUGGGGAAUAUUGGACAAUGGGGNCAACCCUGAUCCAGCAAUACCGCGUGUGUGAAGAAG